CCCACUCCCACUAUCAUUUUCUAUGUUCAGUGGACCGUGAAAUUGGGGUCAAAACUUUAAUUUGGAAUUAAAAUUAGAAAGAUCAUAUCAUAGGGAACAUGUGUACUAAGUUUCAAGUUGAUGUAACUUUAACUUCAUCAAAAACUACCUUGACCAAAAACUUUAACCUGAACUUUGCACUAUCAUUUUCUAUGUUCAGUGAACCAUGAAAUUGGGGUCAAAACUAUAA
rnacentral:lncRNA from 1 species